rnacentral:misc_RNA from 1 species
CAACCCUCAAGCGCAGCUUGGUACUGAGCCCGUGUCAGCGAUGGCAGGCUCCAAAAUCAGUGGCGGCGCCGCUGGGCCCUGAACGUAGUCACAUCUCUCGUUACAGGCGCUCGGCGCGCUUCUGCCAAAACCCCAACCCUCC